AGUGAACGCUGGCGGUAGGCCUAACACAUGCCAGUCGAACGGCAGCACAGUAAGAGCUUGCUCUUACGGGUGGCGAGUGGCGGACGGGUGAGGAAUACAUCGGAAUCUACUUUUUCGUGGGGGAUAACGUAGGGAAACUUACGCUAAUACCGCAUACGACCUACGGGUGAAAGCAGGGGAUCUUCGGACCUUGCGCGAUUGAAUGAGCCGAUGUCGGAUUAGCUAGUUGGCGGGGUAAAGGCCCACCAAGGCGACGAUCCGUAGCUGGUCUGAGAGGAUGAUCAGCCACACUGGAACUGAGAAACGGUCCAGACUCCUACGGGAGGCAGCAGUGGGGAAUAUUGGACAAUGGGCGCAAGCCUGAUCCAGCCAUACCGCGUGGGUGAAGAAGGCCUUCGGGUUGUAAAGCCCUUUUGUUGGGAAAGAAAAGCAGCAGGUUAAUACCCCGCUGUUCUGACGGUACCCAAAGAAUAAGCACCGGCUAACUUCGU
rnacentral:rRNA from 1 species